GUGAAUCAUCGAAUCUUUGAACGCAAAUUGCACUCUCUGGCAUUCCGGGGAGUAUGCCUGUUUGAGGGUCAGUUGAAAUAAAAAUCGAGGUGUUGCUGUUUUGUGACCCAUCGGAAUGGGGUUAUUUUUGACUUUUUAAAAAGUUUAAGUAACCUAAAAUUGAUACCAUGUGCAUCUUAGACGACCAUUAGAA
rnacentral:misc_RNA from 1 species